rnacentral:rRNA from 1 species
UACGUAGGGUGCAAGCGUUGUCCGGAAUUAUUGGGCGUAAGAGCUCGUAGGCGGUUUGUCGCGUCUGCUGUGAAAACGCGAGGCUCAACCUCGCGCCUGCAGUGGGUACGGGCAGACUAGAGUGCGGUAGGGGAGAUUGGAAUUCCUGGUGUAGCGGUGGAAUGCGCAGAUAUCAGGAGGAACACCGAUGGCGAAGGCAGAUCUCUGGGCCAUUACUGACGCUGAGGAGCGAAAGCGUGGGGAGCGAACAGG